rnacentral:rRNA from 1 species
CAGUAGCCGCGGUAACACGGAGGGCGCGAGCGUUACCCGGAUUUACUGGGCGUAAGGGGCGUGUAGGCGGCCUGGGGCGUCCCAUGUGAAAGGCCACGGCUCAACCGUGGAGGAGCGUGGGAUACGCUCAGGCUAGAGGGUGGGAGAGGGUGGUGGAAUUCCCGGAGUAGCGGUGAAAUGCGCAGAUACCGGGAGGAACGCCGAUGGCGAAGGCAGCCACCUGGUCCACUUCUGACGCUGAGGCGCGAAAGCGUGGGGAGCAAACAGGAUUAGAUACCCCAGUAGUCCCUGUCUCUUAUAC